rnacentral:rRNA from 1 species
AACGAACGCUGGCGGCAUGCCUAACACAUGCAAGUCGAACGAGACCUUCGGGUCUAGUGGCGCACGGGUGCGUAACGCGUGGGAACCUGCCCUUAGGUUCGGAAUAACUCCCCGAAAGGGGUGCUAAUACCGGAUAAUGUCUUCGGACCAAAGAUUUAUCGCCUUUGGAUGGGCCCGCGUUGGAUUAGCUAGUUGGUAGGGUAAAAGCCUACCAAGGCGACGAUCCAUAGCUGGUCUGAGAGGAUGAUCAGCCACACUGGGACUGAGACACGGCCCAGACCUCGACGGGGGGGAGGAGGGGGGAAAUGUGGAACAGGGGGGAAAGGCUUAUCCAGCAAUGCCGGGGGGGGGAUGAAGGCCUUAGGGUUGUAAAGCUCUUUUACCCGGGAUGAAAAAGACAGUACCGGGAGAAAAAGCCCCGGCUAAACCCG